rnacentral:lncRNA from 1 species
UUGCAGCUCCAUUUUCUCCUUCUUUUUGCCUUUCCGAGAUUUCACUCCCUACGCACUUCACACCAAAACGCAAGCUUCAAAAAAAUCUGUUCUCAGCUGAUUUCACUUGGAUUUUGCUGUUGAAUUUUAUGUUGUACGUUCUGUAGCUGAAAUAAAAUAUAAAAGAUUUGUAUAGUAAGAUUUUAAUCGGUUUGUUGCGGUUAUUUUUUUUGUUUAUUGUUGUAUGUUUAUCUGUUGCGACUGAGCCGAUGUUUAAUCAUAAUUUUGCUGUUAAUUUGUUUAUCAGUUGCUAUUGAGCCGAUGUUUAAUUGUAACUUUGCUGUUCAAUUUUAUGUUUAUGUGGUAUGUUUUGAAGUUAAAAUAGAUAUAGAAAAUUUGCAUAGUAGGAUUAUAAUCAGUUUGUUACGGUUAAUUUUUGUUUAUUGUUGAAUGUUUAUCGCCUGCUAUUUAGCCGGUGUUUAAUCAUAAUUUUGCUCUUAAUUUUUUUUCAGUUGCGAUUGAGCCGAUGUUUAAUCGUAAUUUUGUGUUUAUGUUGUAUGUUUCUCCAGUUGAUAUAGAUAUAGAUACUUUAUAUAGUUGGAUUCUAUUUGGUUUGCGAUUAAGCCGUUGUUUGAUCGAAAUUUUGCUGUUUAUUUUAUGUUCAUGUUAUAUAUUUCUCAGUUGAAAUAAAAGAUUUAUAUAGUCAGGUUUUAACUGGUUUUGGAAAGGAUAGUCGAGGGAGAGGAGAAAAGAGAGGGGAAUAAGGCUUGGUUUAGCAGCCUUUGUUUUCUAUGGUGUGUUGGUUGGGAGAGCUGCAAUGUAUGAUAUGAUGAUUGUUUACGCUUGUUAUCUCGCUAUUAUAUUUGGAUUGGCGUGCACGCUUGUACUGUUAGCUGUUUGUCGACAUGCCUUGCCAACAUGCCUAUAUCCAUUGCUUUGCGGGAUAUCUUUUACUUCUUAACAAGGUUUGUUGUUAUAGAGCCAUUUGUUGUUGGCACUUCGACAAGUCUUUUGAUGUUUUGACCCCUGAUAUGUGGAGAAUGAAGAAAUUAGAAAGUAUAGGAUAUAUUCAGCUAUAACACAUAUAUUUUGCUUUAGCAAAAAAUUAAUUGCUUUCGGUACACCCUUGUUUGAAGGUUCUGAAUAGGAAAGAGACAGCUCAACUCAACUGAAAUAACAAUCUGUAAAACUGAACACUGUUUGAAAACUAGCCUGAAAAACCUCUAACUGAAACUGUCUGAAAUUGGAGUUGAUGGGACAAUCCCCCAACUAACUCCAUCUACUGAAAUACCGAGUCUACUGAAAUAAUGAAACAAAAGAACAUCCUCAAAUGAUGAGGACUCACUGCUAAUCUACUGCUGCUAGCUGAAUCUGAAUCAUUCUAUGCACGGUCGAGAACCUGUGCAUCCGAGCCUAUGAUAAGAGACAUCAUAGCGCAAAUAAAGAGUGUACUGAAUGUAUUGGUAUGCUAGAUGAGGUAAAGUUGAAUCCACGAGUUCAUAUGCAUGAACAAAAUUGUCUGUAUGAUAUAGAGUAACUGAACAUGAAAGUACAUGGAUAAUUGAUACUAUUGUAAAUACUGAGUAUGACUACUGUGCAUAUAAAUAAAUACUGUGACUAAGCUUAUCUGAGUCCUGAGUUCAGAUACUGAGUAACUGAUAUCUAAAGUUACUGAUAACAGAUUUAUUGAUACUGGUUGACUGUAUCUAACAGUCCUGAUUUUGUAGAACUGAAUCGAGUUCUAUUUUGAAGACUGAAACUGAGACUGAGAGGUAAUCAUUUAACUGACAUGCCUCAAAUAAGAUAACUGAGUUGGGAUCCACCUGUGACCCCAAAUAAAAGGGUGUCAGUACUGUGCCACGGGUAAAGACACUGAAGAGUUACUCUUAUCUGGCAGGUAUUCUAAUGAGAACGGUGGAACCUUCAUCUGACAGGUUAAAACACCUCAUCAACGCUCAACUAGCAGGUUUGAUGUCUCAACCUACACUGGCUAUAUAGUUCUGGAACGCAAGGAUUGCUUUUAGAGAUCACACCCUCUACUAGCAGGUGAGCCCUCAUCCUUGGAUUUACUCGGUGCUGAAUCCUACUCCCAAUUGAAAGACACUGAACUGAGUAUAUUGAACUAGACUAGACUGAUACUGAGCUUACUGAGUUUUCCUAAGUUUGAUAACUGACUGAGUACUAUUGAUCGUGACAUGACUGAGAUUCUGUAACUGACACUGACUCAAGGUACACAGCUAAAUUGUCGGGUAUUAAUACCCCCAAGACUCGGUAGCAUGAAAAAUAAAGCAUAAUAUACUCUUGAAAAUCAUAACAAUGUAUACUUGUCCAUAGUUCACUCAUAAAGGCAUUUAAUCAAACACUUGUAAUACAUCUACUUAUAUAUGAAUGGGGAAUACAUGCUAUCAUGUUAUAAUGACACUUAUUUCAUUCACAUAAAUAUUUUAUCCAACACAGCAUGCUUAGGUUAUACAAUAAUCAAAACAUAGUCAUCAUAGCUACAUCAAUCAACUUGCAAAUUGAAGGGUUUAUCAUGAAGAUCAUGUAAUUCAACACAUACAGUGAUUAAUUUCAUAAAAGCAUGUAAUUUAAUCAUAGACUAAAACCCAACAAUAACAUGAAC